rnacentral:rRNA from 1 species
CCUACGGGGGGCUGCAGUAGGGAAUAUUGCUCAAUGGGGGAAACCCUGAAGCAGCAACGCCGCGUGGAGGAUGAAGGUUUUCGGAUUGUAAACUCCUUUUGUUAGAGAAGAUAAUGACGGUAUCUAACGAAUAAGCACCGGCUAACUCCGUGCCAGCAGCCGCGGUAAUACGUAGGGGGCAAGCGUUAUCCGGAUUUACUGGGUGUAAAGGGAGCGUAGACGGCUGUGCAAGUCUGAAGUGAAAGGCAAGGGCUCAACCUUUGGACUGCUUUGGAAACUGUGCAGCUAGAGUGUCGGAGAGGCAAGUGGAAUUCCUAGUGUAGCGGUGAAAUGCGUAGAUAUUAGGAGGAACACCAGUGGCGAAGGCGGCUUGCUGGACGAUGACUGACGUUGAGGCUCGAAAGCGUGGGGAGCAAACAGGAUUAGAUACCCUUGUAGUC